rnacentral:lncRNA from 1 species
ACUCACUGCUUACAAAUAGCCCCCAGCUCGCCUUUGUGGGAGGGCUUCUUUCUUUGUUUGUUUGUUUUUUUUUUGUUUGUUUGUUUUGGUUUUUUUUUUUUUUUUUUUUGCAAAUACGUUUUUUCUGCUGCAGCCUGUUUGACCCUAUACCCUAGUUUUAGCAGGUAAGUUGUCUCAUCCUACUGGGCAAACAGCAGGCUUUUGUUUCUGCUUUUGUGUUUCCCAGAAGGACUUCAUACUGGCAUGGAGCAAAGGACAGCUAUGUAUUUUUGGUGGGUAUUUUAUAAAUAGAAUGAGGCCUAAAAUGUUUAAAUUGCCAUUUUAUUUCUACCUGAAGGGCGUCAUUUCAGCCCAUGUCCUUGUAAGGUGCCUGUCGUCUGUGUGGGGUUGCUGCCCUCUUACUGCACAGGCUUCUUUCUGCAGCCUCUGCAGAUUUGCUGUCUGCAUUUCUAUCCCUUAACGCUCAUAGGCUGAGAAGGAGGAUUUAGCAUAGCCUCUAUGGGCAUUGUGUGAUGGGAACCUGUCACAGGCUACCACUGAGGCUUUCUGCAGCCCCCAGCAGCAUCCAGCUCACUCCUGAUGGAUGAGCAGUCCCCUAGGCCACCUUAAGAGGACAUUGUCGCAUGAAGAGGUAGCAUGGUCCUUCUCCGUGAAGGCGUGCUCCGAGAGUUGGGAGUGAGGAGAAACUGUGAGGAAGAGAGUACACCAAUUUACAAUUUGUGUUUAUUUUCCUUUUUUAAAGACCCUUUUUUUUUAAAGUAAAGUUGUUUUUUUUUUAAAUGGUUUUUACUCAGUUUUUCACCUUCUGUAAAUACUUAUUAAGGUCUUGAAUUAUCGUAUAAAGGAUCUCUCUGUGUUUGGAGAUGUUCUUACUGGCAUAAGGUCUGAGGUGUUCCUUACGUUUCUGGGUAUUUAUUAUGUACACUACGUCGAACCCUGGGAAGUGUGAAGACUGCCUUAGCACGGUUUUGUGCCUCAAGGCUUAGCACAGGUGGCACAGCCAGUGUUUCUCAGUUAGUGGAAGGCAGCAGUCCAGUUCUCAGGGGGGCCUGGACAUGGUGGAGAUGUCGCUCAGCCUCUGAGUCUCUCCUGUCUGAAGCAUACCACCCCACCCUGCCAAACAGAUGCUUCCAAACAGUUUAGGAGAGGGAAGGAUUGCUUGCCAACCAGCCUCUGUAUGUUCAUGAUCUCUUUUCGACUAAAUUAAAAAACUUAGCCAUAACCCUAAGUGGACCCCAUAUAUACCAAGUUAAUAUAUAUACAUGUACAUGUAUAUAUAUCCUUUUAUGAAUUUGUAUAUAUGAAUAGAAUUUUUAUGUUGAGAAAAUUACAUACAUUGUAUGUGAGUAAAAUUUUAUAUGCUGUAGUCUAUCAGAU